GCAAUCGACUUUAAGUGACAAAUGCUCUCAAACAGCCUGCCAUCGUGAGAUAAUAUAUCAAGUUUCCUCGGACAAAAACUGAGCAUGUAGAAGUCUCCAGAGGUUUUAAUGACAAAUUUGGAUUUCUUGGAGUACUUGGAUGCAUCCACGGCACACACAUUGCCAUUAUCCAACCUCACAAGUGGGAAGAGGCCUUCUUCAAUAGCAAGUAUUACCAUUCAUUGCAUGAUAUGUUGGUUUGUGAUGGAGAUAUGUGCAUUACAUUUGUGAUGCAUCCAAUGGGAGUGUUAGUGCUAGACUGCUAGCCAAGAUAACCAUAUUUGGAACAACAGCACUUUGAGAAGGGAAAAGGAACAUCUCCUUAAUUUAAAUAUGUUUAAGUUCAUUAAGUGGACUUGUGUGGUCCUUGAAAUGUAAAUUACAAAGUCAGUGUGGUGUAAUCAAAAGUGGCAGAUUUGUUAUUCAAUAAUACAACAUCUAAACAAACCUUUCUUUAUUGGCAUCAAAUAAACUAUUUUCAUUACGCAGAUUUA